UACGUAGGGGGCAAGCGUUGUCCGGAUUUAUUGGGCGUAAAGAGCGUGUAGGCGGCCAAGCAGGUCCGCUGUGAAAACUCGAGGCUCAACCUCGAGACGUCGGUGGAAACCGUUUGGCUAGAGUCCGGAAGAGGAGAGUGGAAUUCCCGGUGUAGCGGUGAAAUGCGCAGAUAUCGGGAAGAACACCCGUGGCGAAGGCAGGUCUCUGGGCCACUACUGACGCUGAGAAGCGAAAGCAUGGGGAGCGAACAGG
rnacentral:rRNA from 1 species